rnacentral:rRNA from 1 species
UACGUAGGGGGCAAGCGUUGUCCGGAUUUAUUGGGCGUAAAGCGCGCGUAGGCGGCGCGGUAUGUCGUGCGUGAAAUCUCCCGGCUUAACUGGGAGGGGCCGUGCGAAACUGCCGGGCUUGAGGUCGGAAGGGGAAAGUGGAAUUCCGGGUGUAGUGGUGGAAUACGUAGAUAUCCGGAGGAACACCAGCGGCGAAGGCGGCUUUCUGGUCCGAUACUGACGCUGAGGUGCGAAAGCGUGGGGAGAGAUCCGG